rnacentral:rRNA from 1 species
AAUCAACGCUGGCGGCGUGCCUAACACAUGCAAGUCGAACGAGAAAGGGGACUUCGGUCCCUGAGUACAGUGGCGCACGGGUGAGUAACACGUGACUUAUCUACCCUCGAGUGGGGAAUAACUUCGGGAAACCGAGGCUAAUACCGCAUAAUACCCACGGGUCAAAGGAGCAAUUCGCUUGAGGAGGGGGUCGCGGCCGGUUAGUUAGUUGGCGGGGUAAUGGCCCACCAAGACGGUGAUCGGUAUCCGGCCUGAGAGGGCGCACGGACACACUGGAACUGAAACACGGUCCAGACUCCUACGGGAGGCAGCAGUGGGGAAUUUUGCGCAAUGGGGGAAACCCUGACGCAGCAACGCCGCGUGGAGGAUGAAGUCUCUUGGGACGUAAACUCCUUUCGAUCGGGACGAUUAUGAUGGUACCGGAAGAAGAAGCCCCGGCUAACUUCGUG